UGGUGGUAUCACUGGUGCAGAUGAGCCAUUGAAUCCUGAGGCUUGAAAUAAUUUUGAUGCCUCAUUCCAUUAGGGGUUUGGCAAUGUGGCCAUGUAACCACCAAAUCAAUAUCAUUCAUAACAAUUGGCAAGUUUUUAUUUAUGUACAAACAACUAAAAGUCAGAGUCGCAACAUUGUAGCAAACUAUGGAUUGGAGUUGUAUAAGUUCCAUGUAAAGCAGAUCUUUUCAUGUUAAGCAUAGCAGAAAUCAGGUGGCGACAUACCAGAAUGUACUCUGGUGCGGAUCUCCCCACAGGUCACAAUCCACCAGACUGUCCUAGAAAAAUCAAUAGUGAGCCUCCAAACUCACCCCACCAGCUACUGCUAGUCAUCCUAAGUUUAACUAAUAACUAAGAGACUAACCACCAUUUUAAUGAGUGACAUUUUUAUUUGGUAUAUAUUAACAUUCAGCUCAAAGCCAGCGUAUGUUCUAUUAACGUAAGUCUUACCCUGUUAUCUUUACACACAUUUCCUAAGCUAAUACAUAGUUGAAGUCCAUCAUUACUUUGAUAGUUUUGAUAAAACAAUGGUAUUUAGAAAGUAUAGAAACAGUGGUCAUGAUCUGAUAUGCAUCCAAAAAAAAUCUUCAAAAAUAUUAAGAACCUUAAGGAAAUGAAACCAAAAUUUUACAGUAAACUAACAGGAAUACUACUGAACAUUAUUAAAUUGUCAGCUGAAAAUUCUGUCCAGAAUUUAGUUCCACAGUUCAUCCACCCAUUCAUUUUCUGAAAUGCUUCUUGAGUUGCUGGGCAGGUUCAGACCUGCAUGGUUUGGUAGAAGUAAACCAUGGAUGAAACCCCAGUCCAUCAUGAGGCACAUUCACUAAUUUUGUGCCAAUUUAGAGUCACCAACCCAUCUAAUUUCAUCUUUGGGAUAUUGAAGCAAACCAGAGUACACAAAGACUAGUCAAUAGAACACGAGGAGAACAUGCCAAGUUGACACAAGGAGUUGUAGUCAAGUUCCUCGAGCUGUGUGUCAGCAGUGCUAGCUACUAUGCCAAUGAGUACAUGUUUGUAAAUUCAAUUUAAACACAUAUUUGAAAAAUAAAUCUGAUAGUUUGUUGUAUUAACUUGUUGAACUUUAACAUAAGAACAAGUUUUGAUCUUGAGUUACAUGGAAAAUUUCCGAUUCACCAAUACCAUCUUAAGAAAUAUUUAUUUUGACAAUUGCAUUGUCGUGGGGGUGUCACAGAGGGACGCAACUCUCACCUAAUAACAUCCCCAAUUUAACCUCUUCCCAUGUAUGUGUUAGUCAGGGGUCACGCUGCAAUCUCUUUCAUUGACACCAUUCACAAACAGACCAAAACAGGAUUGACCUCAUGCAUCACUUACAGUAUCAUUAACUUACUUAGUGACUUUAAACAGACUGUACAGUAAUCAAGCGGUUACAACUUGUUAUAAAUCUUAAUUAUAAAUGUCCUAAAAUGUACCUAAAGCUAAAGCAAGGAGAUGGUGUAGCAUUAACCCCAAAUACAACCUGGAUGGAUAGCAGAGCUUCUCUUUGAAGGAUAGAUACAAAAUGCAUCUAGUGCUCAGGGGGAAGUUGUUCUUGCAUUAUGUCAUUCUGGCAGGGUUUUUGGCUGCAAUGUCAGGGUUUGAAUGUAGGCCAUCAAUUUGCCCUGGUAUUUAAGUCUUUUUCACGCUUCUGUACGGCAUUCUUGGGUCAAUGAGGCGCCAAAGAGUACAGGCCGACUGGCCUGUCCAACAAUUCUAUCCAUGCCCUACCUUUUUUCCCUCAGUUCUUCCAUUAGUCAAUGUUUAACCCAUGACAAAUGUCUCACAGGAUGUACCUCAUGUUUGCUGACAUCAAUUCUAGCUAGUCUUACAGCAAGCCAAAUAGCUCAGCAAAAUUUUGGUGUAAUCAAUAGACAAAGUAUAAUUAACGCUAAAUGUCCCUGUUUUUCUAGUCCAUGCGUUUAUCAUUAUUGUAUCACGUGCCUACUCUAUACAUUCGUAAGAGAUAGUAAACAUACAGUACAUGUGCAUAGUCCAUUAUUGUGCAUCCCCAAAUCACCACACAACACCAUUUUUGCCUGGGUUCUGUUUAUCUCUAUGGCUUGUUCAUGCUCUCAUUCUGCCCGGCCAUAAAGUUUUACGAUCUUAAUAGAAAUUUCUGAUUAACAGUAACUGGGGAUAUUUUCAUUACAAGAAAUAAUGCUCUAGAAAACAUUUGAUAGCAACAGACAGCAGAUAACAUUAACCAGGGCGUCCAUCCUCCCAACACCUUUACGCAUUCCAAGCAAUAGGGGCACCGGUGUGCUAGUCAGGGAGAUCCUCUUUUCCCUAUUCAAAAAUAUUUAGCACACCCAACCAUCUAUGUUUUCUCUGCUUACCAUGUAAUAAGUAUCCACUACUUGACAUUUUUUAAGGAACUUAUACAUCACUAUUUCUAUGGUAUGCAUUGAAGAUCAUCAUGAAAAUGUUACAUAAACUGCAUUACAUUGGUACUUUAAAUCUGUCACUUUUUACACACUUUAAAAAUCUUUUAUUAAAAAAUAUACCUUUUGAUGGGUGUCACAUUAGGUAGCGCUGAUGCGUCACGGAACCCGCAUCCUCUUUUUGAACCAAGUGUACAUAUUUUCCUCUCUUAUCCCUAUAAACCUGUUAGUUAGGUGUAUUAGUCAUUUGAAAAUAGGCUCAGUGGGGGGUUUGUGUGUGUGUGUGCGCGCCCUGCGAUGGACUGUCACCAUGCCCAAGGCUGUUUCUUAUAUUCCGCUCCAUGCUGCCAGAAUAGGCUGUGACCGUCCAUGAGCUUGACUUAGAUUAACCAGUUUGAAAAUAUGACGUUGUAUGCUUUAUGAAAAACACUUGACCUGUUCAGCUGUAGGUUUUCUUGUUUGCCUCUCAUUUUCAAGCUGUCCGCUUUUCACAAAAGAGGUCAGAAUGUAAACAGACAAGUGUACUAAAAUCAAGGCAAAAGUAGGUUCCAUAGCAAUAAUAGACUGUAAAUGUAAGAAACUAGCUCAAAGGAAAAUCUUUAGGCAGUCAGGAACCAAGUUUGACACUCCUGAAUAUUGAAAGAUAUUCCAGAAUAGGAAAGUAUGGCAUCAUUUAGUUUUCUUUUCUGGCUUUGGAGAUCCAUUUCUGAGAUGUUUACAUUUUCCCCCUAAAUGCCAUGUCACAAUGGAUGACUUUUCCAGUGAUUUUCAGGUAUAGCCUUCAUGUAAUUUUCAUGUAUUCAUGUAAUCUAAGUGAAUCGCAGGUAGUUAUGGUACACUCAUGUGAGGGAAGUCAUUCAUACGACACACUCAGUGACUCACUUGAACUAGUCCACAACUCAGCCUGACAAAAUCAGACAGGUUUGAUUUGUCGUUAGCCAUGAAAGGCUCUGUGUGAAUGAGAGCUGACAACCAAUGACUGGUGAUCUGCAAAUAAAAUGCAUAUAGUGCAGUGGUGAGGAAUAAGGAACGCUUGUGUUUUGGACCUCACAAACAGAAGAGAAGCUUGUGUGUCUGAUAUGUCACAUUUUACAUACCAUAACACAAUGAGGAAAAGAAAAGGGCAGAGACUGAGACUGAAUUAGCUGUACCUGUUAACCCCUUUGUAUAGCAGCAGCUCCAUCAGGCAGAACACUAUUAGAAAAAUCUCGAUGAGAACAGGCCAUUCAGCCCAACAAAGCUGGCUAAUCCUAUCCACAUAAUUCUUUCAAAAUAACAUCAAGUCAAGUUUUGAAGGUCCCUAAAGUCAUUCUGUCUCUGAGGCUCUGUGUGAAGAAAAAAUCCUGUUUGUGUGAAAUUUACCUCUAACAAGUUAGCUGUCAGAAAAAGGGGCAAGUACUUGUAGAUUGAUAUGUCAGGUCAGGUUAGGAGCAGGCACUGGUACAGGGCUUUGCUGCACCCACCACACAACAAAACAGCUCCGGAUCCCAGUUGGCAACCCCCUAAUGGCACACACGCAGUCCAGUCCCAUCCUCCUGCUGCAGCCAGGUGUUACAUGGGCAUCCAUCCCAUUGGUAUGGUCAAGUCACUCAGAUCCUCUGCAAUCCUGCGAGCCAGAUCACCCUCGGGAAAUUGAGCCACAUGGCCAUAGUGCCAUAACUGAUGCUUCCUCACAAUGCAGGUAAUGUGCCUCAUUCAGGACUCCAUGAGGAACUGCUCAUUUGACACAAAGUCAAACCAGCGGUACCCAAGGAUUCUCUGAAUAGACAUAGCAACAAAGGAGUUCAGUUUUUGUCUCAAGUCACUGGAUAGCGUCCAUGUCUUGCAACCAUAUAGCAAAACAGAAAGCACCAGGACUCUAAAGGCUUGGACCUUUGUCUUUUUGCAUAGAUAUCGGGAGAGCCUCACACCCCUUUCCAGCGAUCUCAGCAACUACAGAUGGCAAGUCUGAAGUACCCUACAACUAAGAGCUGUAGAAUGUGACACCAGCUUAAAGAAGGAAAGAAGUUGUUAUGUUAAUUUGUGAAAAGUACACAUGAGCAAUGCUACCUGAAGUUUUUAGCUGCUGUCUUCAUUGAAGAACUGAUCAGAGAUAAUCCACUGAAGUAAUAUCAUAGAGCGAAUAGUUCACUUUGACACAGCUCAACCCAGUAUGUCCUCCUCCUCAUCCAUCUAGCCAUCCAUUUUCCAACCCGCUGAAUCCGAACACAGGGUCACGGGGGUCUGCUGGAGCCAAUCCCAGCCAACACAGGGCACAAGGCAGGAACCAAUCCUGGGCAGGGUGCCAACCCACCGCAGCCUCCUCCUCAUGUGUUCACAGAUGUUUUCCAGCCAUACUUAUGAAAGUAAAAACUCUUGAGUUGCUUUCUGAUUAAUCAAUGGAAAUUGAAUUGUACCAUCGGAUUGUAUGGCCUCUCACAUCAGACAAACUCAAGUAGACAGUGCCUGAAUUUCAUUGAAAUGUUAAAACCCAAGUGGGAGCCCAUAAGGAACAUAUCUUACAUAACAUAUAUAACGGAUCAAGAUUGUUAUUUUAAAAUGAGGGGACACAGUUGGAAACUUGUUAAGAGCAAACUUCACAUAAAUGUUAAGAUAGUUUUUCUUCACACAGAGAACCACAGACACAUGGAAUAAGUGACCAAGUAGUGCAGUAGACAGAAGGACUUUAGGGACCUUCAAAACUUGACUUUAUUUUAUUCUGGAAGAAUUAAGUGGGUUGAACUGGCGAGCUUUGUUGAGCUGAAUGGAUUGUUCUAAUGUUCCAAUAUCUCAUAGCAAACAAGUUAUGACUUUAUGACCUUCAACAACUUUCUUAUCAUUUUUGUGCCUGUUUGAAAAACCCAUUGCAGAGUGCACAAGUCAGGCUAAAAUCGCAUAGUGUAGCUUACGAAAAGAAAUUUCAGGUAGUACCCAGUGCCGAGUAAUUUAGACAUUUCCCAUCACCUGUUCCUGUGCUGUAGUGGACUGGUAUACAUAUGUACACUAUGUAGUUUUGCCUUAAACCCUAAGUUUGCCAUUCCUGUUCUGAAGUCAUGAAGUAAUCUGGGAAAAGAGGUGCCCAGCCUUUACCAUUUGUAAAGAGCUUUACCGACUAAACACUGUGAGCAGCGUUUCAAACGCCCAUUACUCAAUUCUUUAGGGAAUUUCCCUCGCAUAGUUUUCAGGCAGAUACUUCGUUUCACCAGAAUCAAAAACUAGAAUCACAAUCUACUUGUACUGAAAAACAUGCAAAUCCUGGUUCGGGAAGCGAGAGUGGAAAUGGCCAAAAUCUUAGCUAAUCAGAACACCUAUACAUUUGAUUUUGACUUUUUUUAUUAUCCUGAAGUUCAUUUUACGUUAGUAUGGAACUUUUCUGUUACAAGUGCAUUAAAGCUACAAGAGUCAUUAAGGUUUUUAAGUAUCGUUUGCAACAAGAAUCCUUUAAGAGUUGUAUCUUACAAAAAGGCAAUUUGUUUUAUUGCUAGGUUUUAUUUUUAUUUGGUUCUGCUGCCCACUGUUCUGUGCUGUAUGACUAUUGCCCACUUUGGACCGAAAAGAACUGUCUUCUGCUUUCCUUUUUUGUUUUGUUUUUCACUUUCUGUAUUUGUGUUGCUUCUGUUCUUUAUCUUCUAUUCACUCUUUGGAGCAGUAGAAAUCAGAAUGAAGAAAACUCUCAAAGUCAAAACUGGAAAGGUGAAAUUUGAUGUCAACAAAAAUACAAAUCCUAGGUCACUGGUCAAAGAGGACGUGGAGGUUCAGAAUAAAACCACUUCCUACUUUUGAAGGAGACAUGCACUUUGGUCUUCUGGCCAUCUUAAUGCACAGAAGACAAUCUUGUCAAAAUCAAGUUUCUCUUCUUGCUUUUAUAUAUAAUGUAUAUACUGGUUUUGUUAUGAGCUUUGCAAACUUUUUAAAUUAUUAUUUUUUAAUGAAUCAGUUUCUCUAUUGCACUUUUGUUUCUGGGAUAUCCAAUUUAAAAAAAAAAAAAGAAACUGGAGUCUACUGGGUUGCCAAUUUGAAGAAAAAAAUAUAUUUAUUUUCCUUUUUGAUCAAUGGCGCGUAAUAAAUUUGUUACCCUAAGGAGGGUGAUAGGCAGCAGGGCACCUUCAGGCUCUGUUAAUGCAUGCCUUUUUUAUUUGUUUGUGUUUAAUUUUUUU